CCCUCUUUUAACUUACUAAAAUGUCCCUACCAGACAAUGUAUAGUAAAAUAAACACGUGGCUCACAUCCUAUUUCUAUUGGGCAGCACAGAUUCAAGCAGGAAGUGUAAGGUCCAACCGGGCCUAUGGAAGCCUGUGUGCUUUGCUGGUUACUAGGCAGACGGCAGAAAGAGCCACCUUUGAAACACAAGGACCAGCUCAGAGCAACUUGAGGAGCAGCAAGCAGAAGCAGCUGAGGAAGAAAGACUGAAGUCCUAUCUUUUUUGGAAUUGGAAGUCUGGAUAUGCGGGCGCCAGAUGCAUGAACAGAAAGAGACAAGAGCAGAUCUAGAUGUGGAGCUCUCAGCUCCUUCUCCAGGACCAUGUCUGCCUGGA